rnacentral:rRNA from 1 species
UGCAGUCGAGCGGAGAAGGGAGCUUGCUCCUGGAUUCAUCGGCGGACGGGUGAGUAAUGCCUAGGAAUCUGCCUGGUACUGGGGGAUAACGACCGGAAACGGGCGCUAAUACCGCAUACGUCCUGAGGGAGAAAAUGGGGGAUCUUCGGACCUCACGCUAUCGCAUGAGCCUAGGUCGGAUUAGCUAGUUGGUGGGGUAAAGGCCUACCAUCGCGACGAUCCGUAACUGGUCUGAGAGGAUGAUCAGGCACACUGGAACUGAAACACGGACCAGACUCCUACGGGAGGCAGAAGUGGGGAAUAUUGGACAAUGGGCGAAAGCCUGAUCCAGCCAUGCCGCGUGUGUGAAGAAGGUCUUCGGAUUGUAAAGCACUUUAACUUGGGAGGAAGGGCAGUGAAUUAAUACCUUGCUGUUUUGACGUUACCAACACAAUAAGAACCGGCUAACUUCGUGCCAGCAGCCGCGGUAAUACGAAGGGUGCAGGCGUUAAUCGGAAUUACUGGGCGUAAAGCGCGCGUAGGUGGUUCAGCAAGUUGGAUGUGAAAUCCCCGGGCUCAACCUGGGAACUGCAUCCAAAACUACUGAGCUAGAGUACGGUAGAGGGUGGUGGAAUUUCCUGUGUAGCGGUGAAAUGCGUAGAUAUAGGAAGGAACACCAGUGGCGGAAGGCGACCACCUGCCACUGAUACUGACACUGAGGCUGCGAAAGCGUGAGGCGAGCAAGACAGGAUUAGGAUACCCAUGG